UUCCAACACCCCCCACUUUACCUUCUAUCAUUUGGAUGUGUUAGUUAAUCAAUUACAAGAAAUCCAACUACUUCAUGUUCCCUUUUGUCACUUUGCACCCUUCACAACAAGCAAGGAAUAAAAGAUCAAUCAUCAAAAAUCCAAGUUUUCUAGCUUAGCUUAACUUUAACAAAGUAAAAAAGAAAUAAAAAAAAGAUAGAUAGAUACACUUUAAUUGAG
rnacentral:misc_RNA from 1 species